rnacentral:hammerhead_ribozyme from 1 species
AUCUAACUGACGAGUCCCAAAUAGGACGAAACGCGCAUCCUGGAU